UACGUAAGGGGCAAGCGUUGUCCGGAAUCAUUGGGCGUAAAGCGCGUGUAGGCGGCCAGAAAAGUCCGCUGUGAAAACUCGAGGCUCAACUUCGAGCUGUCGGUGGAAACUUUCUGGCUAGAGUCCGGAAGAGGAGAAUGGAAUUCCUGGUGUAGCGGUGAAAUGCGCAGAUAUCAGGAAGAACACCCGUGGCGAAGGCGGUUCUCUGGGACGGUACUGACGCUGAGACGCGAAAGCGUGGGGAGCGAACAGG
rnacentral:rRNA from 1 species